rfam:Citrus clementina cultivar Clemenules unplaced genomic scaffold scaffold_8, whole genome shotgun sequence.
AUGCCGUGAUGAGGACAUCUCCUGAGUAACUCCUUAAAUCUUUCCCAUGCAUCAUAUAAACUCUCAUAUUUAAGUUGAUGAAAAGAUAUGAUCUCCUUCCUUAAUUU